GACUGCAAGUGUUUGUACCUUUUGAUUGAUGAUUGUAGACAAGAUGUUGGUACAACAGUCAUUGUUCAGGAUAUAUUUUACAACCAACCAGUUCGAAGGAAGCAAAUGCACUCCAACCCAAAGAAGGCCUUGCAUUCUCUGAAAGAGUCUCUGCUAAGAAUUGCCCUUGUGCAUCCCUGUCUCCUUCAAAAUUGUUGAUAUUGAAAGUUAGGAUGACUUGCUUUGUACAUGUUCUUCUCCUUCUCCGUUGCCGCUAUUAUCCACUAGUCCAGUGAGUUUGGGAUUCAUCUGAGUUCCCUUUAACAAAUUGAAUGCAUGUGAUGGUUCAUUCAAGCUCUCAGGAUAAGUUGCAGGUUUUGUUCAAUGCAUGCAGUUAGGAUGACUUGCUUUGUACACGUUCUUCUCCUUCUCCGUUGCCGUUAUUAUCCACUAGUCCAGUGAGUUUGGGAUUCAUCUGAGUUCCCUUUAACAAAUUGAAUGCAUGUGAUGGUUCAUUCAAGCUCUCAAGAUAAGUUG